rnacentral:rRNA from 1 species
CACCAGCGCCACGAGUGGUUAUCACGAUUAUUGGGCCUAAAGCGUUCGUAGCCGGUUUGGUAAAUCUCUUGUGAAAUUGUUCGGCUUAACCGGACAGCGUGCAGGAGACACUGCCAAACUCGAGACCGGGAGGGGUCAGAAGUAUUCCGUGGGGACCGGUAAAAUGGGAUAAUCCACGGAGGACUACCGAUGGCGAAGGCAUCUGACCAGAACGGAUCUGACGGUGAGGAACGAAAGCCAGGGGAGCGAACCG